GGGUCGGUGGCGUAGUUGGUUAUCGCAUCUGUCUAACACGACGUUCACAGAAGGUCCUCAGUUCGAACCUGGGCCGACUCA